rnacentral:rRNA from 1 species
GAUGAACGCUGGCGGCGUGCCUAAUACAUGCAAGUCGAGCGAACGGACGCGAAGCUUGCUUUUCUGAUGUUAGCGGCGGACGGGUGAGUAACACGUGGAUAACCUACCUAUAAGACUGGGAUCACUUCGGGAAACCGGAUCUAAUACCGGAUAAUAUUUUGAACCGCAUGGUUCAAAAGUGAAAGACGGUCUUGCUGUCACUUAUAGAUGGAUCCGCGCUGCAUUAGCUAGUUGGUAAGGUAACGGCUUACCACGGCAACGAUGCAUAGCCGACCUGAGAGACGGAUAGGCCACAUGGGAACUGAGACACGGUCCUGACGCCUAAGGGAGGCAGCAGUAGGGAAUCUUCCGCAAUGGGCGAAAGCAUGACGGAGCAACGGCGCGUGAGUGAUGAAGGUCUUCGGAUCGUAAAACUCUGUUAUUGGGGAAGAACAUAUGUGUAAGUAACUGUGCACAUCUUGACGGUACCUAAUCAGAAAGCCACGGCUAACUACGUG